CAGAAAGGCUGGGAAUCAGACUCCCGCUGCACAUGUGUCCUUCUGUUCGCUAUUUCUAUUUCCAAGUCUUGUGCUUCUUCCAAAGUGUGUAAAGUCACUGGAAGUGCGUUGAAGAGAUGCAAACCAGGAAAUGUUUACGUGAUAAAACGGGCUCAGAGACAACUCUCUGGCAAGGGGAAACCAAGGGCGAGAAAGCUGACCACCAGAGGAAGCUGUGUUCUAAAAGGAAAAGACACAGUUUUGUGGAUGACUGAAGCAUUUCUGCUUCUCCUAGAGACACACAGAGUGCAUGUUGGCUGGAGAGUCAACUAUUACCCGAAGGCAAGUUCUCUGGAGCCUUCUUCAGUGCCACAGGCUCAGAGGGUGGGCUGGCUGAUACAGCACCAGGCAGACAAAAUGGCCUCCUUCCAGAGAGGGGGUGGGUCGGCUGCUGGCUCCUGGCCACCACCUCAGCCAGCUUUAAGGAAGUCACACAGUCCAGAGAUGUCUUCCAGACUGACAUUCCCACUGGAGCUCUGCCAAGGAACCUCAGAGGAGAGCCAACCACCUCCCUUUCCCAGCCAGCACUGUCUUCUGGCUAUGGUUGGAGGCCUGAUGGGCACAAACCCCUCUUGCUACAGAUCGUUUCCCUCACCCCGCCCCCACCCAUUGUUUCUCACCUGGGGGGGGGGGCCUAAGAUGGUCUAGCUGGACCACACUGCUCUGGGUAAACUUCAGUUCCCUGUGGGGGCUCUCUCUUCCUACCCACUCACCACAGAGGCUGUAAAGGAGGAGAGGCCACACCCUCCUGGAGGUUGGGCCAGUCUUCUUCAAGCGCGCUCAGUGCACACCAGUGCCCUUCAUGGGGUCUACACUCACCGACAGGUGCUGAGCUCUCCAGCGUCCAGUUCCCAGCCUGCCAGAGCCUCCCAGCCUCGCUCCUUUUGCAACGUCCCUCUGAGCUCUUCCUUCUGCCCUGGGUGUAGGAAGUAGCUGAGAAGGCAUUCCUCACCCCAGCACAUCCUCUGCCCUUGGCAUUUACAGGACUAGUGGCCACUGGCCCAGCAAACACACACGGCCUGAGGGGGAGGUGGGGUCCACCUGGGGAAGAAGGGUUUAUGCUCCACCCUGACCACAGUAACCUCAGCAGGGUCUCAAGCCCCUACGCCGCCCGCAAGCAUCGUGCAGUUACCUGGGCAGCUCCUUGGUCCCCUAAAGGGCCCAGAGCAGUCUGGAUUCCGUCUGAGAAGCAGGAUAGCCAGCCGUCCUCCCUUGUUUGGCAGGGUGGUAGGUGUCCACUGGGGAGGGUCACAUUGCUGAAACGUUCUUCAGGAUGGAAAGCAAGCCCCUCGUGGAAUUAUUCAGAAAGUAACUACAUUAUUGUCGUUAACUCAGCAAAGGACAUUGCCUCCAGUUCGUUCGUUCCAGUUUGUGCUAUCAGCUAUUUGAGGAAUGAUUGUUUUGUGGAAAGAAAUCACGGUGGUCUGGGCGCCUAG